UGGGGUUGUAAAUGGCCCAAUCCAAUCAUGAAACCUUUGUCGAUUUUUUUAUAGAGGAGUUCCUGUAGACUACUAGGGUCAGUGAGUGCUGACUGUAGGUUGGGCAUUCCAGAAUUCCUGUGGGGAGUGCAAUGAAACCCAUGUGAGAAACCACAUGUGAGAAAUUCCACCAGGUCUGAGGAAGGAUAAUUAGACAAGUAACGUUGCAAAUUAGGUAUGUUUAUUGGUUUAGAUGAUCUUUUAGGGUACAAUCUGUUUGGGCACAUUGUUUUAGCAUGUGCUCUUUAACAAAGUAAGCAUACGUGAAGGAGUCUGCAAGCACUGUAACUACAACCUCCCGCAUUUAAAUUGUUACAGACUUGAGCCUUUCCCAGAAAAACAAUUGGCCUGCCUAGUUUAUCUCACAAUUCUCUUUGGGCCAUGGGUUGAAACUGGGG